rnacentral:rRNA from 1 species
ACCACCCCUUCCCAUCUCGAACAGGGCCGUGAAACGAUUCUGCGCCAAUGAUAGUAUACUUCUCGUAUGCGAAAGUAGGUCACCGCCAAGC